ensembl:Y_RNA Y_RNA Y RNA
GACUUGACCAAAGGUAGUGAGUUAUCUCAAUUGAUUGUUCACAGUCAGUUACAGAUCAAACUCCUUGUUCUACUCUUUCCCCUCUUCUCACUACUGUACUUGACUAGUCUUUU